GGUCCGGAACAGUCCAGGACUCCAGAUUACUCCAAAACAGUUCGAGAUCAGUUCGCGAUGGGACAGAAUCAAGCAGAAUCAUCAAUCUUUGUCAGCGACACAAUGAGAAGGUACAUGGCAGAAUUUCCUACAUGAUGGACUCGCAGGAUGUCAGUGAACAGGAAUUAGAAGUCUGAGAAAUCUCGAGAGACGAUACCGUGGGUAAAAAUCUCCACAUUAGCAAUUGGAUAAACAACACUUUGAAGUCUCUACAUGAGAUUGACAAAAAUGGCUGGACAAAAGAGCUAAAGAUUCGACUUCGUACUUUAUGGGAUCUGAGUACGAGAGAAGAAGUGAUAUAUCACAUCUUAUGUUACACAAUUUUCUUAAGCUAACAAAGAGGGCAUUGGUGAUUUCAAACAAACCACGAUUGACUGAAAUAAUCUUGGGUAUCAUUGGCAAUGUAUGCAGCAGUGAUAAAGCGGCCAUCGAUACAAUAGGCCGCGACCGAGAGCUAGUUAUACGAAUCCUGAGCCAUUUAACGUCGAACAAUUCGUUAAUAUUGAUUCAACUUAUCAAGUUCUUACACUCGGUUGUGUGGAAUCUCUGGAAAAAUCGUAAAAAUCUGGAUAAAUCGGAUUGGGCAGCUCAUCUUAUGGAAUGCAGCUUUUUCGGAGAUUCUAUAACCUUUAUAUUAUAAAUAUAAAGUAUUCAACUAAUUAUGACUUAUUAACGGAAGCAAUCAGUUUGCUUCAAUAUAUGCCCAAUAUAAAUCCAUUGAGUAGAAACAGAUUCUGGGUGAAACUGUUUAAAAUGGACGAUUUGAUUCCUGCCGUGUUAGAAUCGUUCGUGCAGGUAAUAUCAAAAAGAAAAGAGAGUGGCUUCGAAUGGCAGUUCGCCGAAAACUGGAUGGAAGUGCUACAUGCCAUAAGAGACUCCAAUCACGGACUUGAAUUCGAGAACCAUGAGACUGAUGAGAGAUUUUUGAAGCUGAUGGACAUUACUUAUAUACAGAAUAUUGGAACCAUGCAAACAACCAUGUAAUUUUUAUCCAAUCCGGGAAUUAGGCAUAAUUUUUAAUAUUACGGACGUGCUGUCGGUUCGAUUGUAGGGUGAAUUCGCCAAGAAUACAUAGCAUUCUAGCGAGUAUAACUUUCUACCUUAACUUUGUUUCAGUAUGUAAUCCAAGAAAAGAGCUAAAUUCCGAGGAACAUAGAGCCGCGCUUUUAAAAUACCCGAUUGGAUACUGGUUUCGUAUGUUUACAAACUGGACGGAGGAACCGGAGGAAGACCGAGGAACGGAAUGCGGAGAUGUUGCAUCUGUGUGAACAUGAUGCUUGUCAGUAUCUGAUAGGACUUCUAUUGUCCUACCCCUAAAGUGACAGCCAAAGCGCUGGACAAGAUGAAGGAAGCUGCCAUCUUCAUUGGUUGAAAAAUUUGAGAACAAAAGAUAUUUCCUUAACAUGUAACAUGUUAGAUAUACGGAAUAAAUAAUAAAUUAUUUCUUAAAUUUA